GACGAACGCUGGCGGCGUGCCUAAUACAUGCAAGUCGAACGAGAGCGACCGGUGCUUGCACUGGUCAAUCUAGUGGCGAACGGGUGAGUAACACGUGGGUAACCUGCCCAUCAGAGGGGGAUAACAUCCGGAAACGGAUGCUAAAACCGCAUAGGUCUUCGAGCCGCAUGGCUUGAAGAGGAAAAGAGGCGCAAGCUUCUGCUGAUGGAUGGACCCGCGGUGCAUUAGCUAGUUGGUGAGGUAACGGCUCACCAAGGCCGUGAUGCAUAGCCGACCUGAGAGGGUGAUCGGCCACAUUGGGACUGGGACACGGCCCAAACUCCUACGGGAGGCAGCAGUAGGGAAUCUUCCGCAAUGGACGCAAGUCUGACGGAGCAACGCCGCGUGAGUGAAGAAGGUUUUCGGAUCGUAAAACUCUGUUGUUAGAGAAGAACAAGUGCUAGAGUAACUGUUAGCGCCUUGACGGUAUCUAACCAGAAAGCCACGGCUAACUACGUG
rnacentral:rRNA from 1 species